CGAAACGGCAAACCUCACGAAUAACAAGUGAGGGACGCAAAGCCACGGGCCUGAAAUGGUAGCCGGGUUUCCGA
rnacentral:ncRNA from 1 species